rnacentral:rRNA from 1 species
GAUGAACGCUGGCGGCGUGCCUAAUACAUGCAAGUCGAGCGAACGGACGAGAAGCUUGCGUCUCUGAGGGUAGCGGCGGACGGGUGAGUAACGCGUGGAUAACCUACCUAUAAUACGGGGGGGACUUCGGGAAACCGGAGAUAAUACUGGAGAAUAUGUCGAACCGCAGGGUUCAAAAGUGAAAGACGGUCUGCCCGUCAGUUAGAGAUGGAUCCGCGCUGCAUUAGCUAGUUGGUAAGGUAACGGCUUACCAAGGCAACGAUGCAUAGCCGACCUGAGAGGGUGAUCAGCCACACUGGAACUGAGACACGGUCCAGACUCCUACGGGAGGCAGCAGUAGGGAAUCUUCCGCAAUGGGCGAAAGCCUGACGGAGCAACGCCGCGUGAGUGAUGAAGGUCUUCGGAUCGUAAAACUCUGUUGUUAGGGAAGAACAUAUGUGUAAGUAACUGUGCCCAUCUUGACGGUACCUAAUCAGAAAGCCCCGGCUAACUACGUG